UACGUAGGUGGCAAGCGUUGUCCGGAUUUAUUGGGUUUAAAGGGUGCGUAGGUGGUCUAUUAAGUCAGUGCUGAAAUAUCCCGGCUUAACCGGGAGGGUGGCAUUGAUACUGAUGGACUUGAGUAAAGUUGAGGUAGGCGGAAUUGACGGUGUAGCGGUGAAAUGCUUAGAUAUCGUCAAGAACACCGAUAGCGAAGGCAGCUUACUAAGCUUUAACUGACGCUGAUGCACGAAAGUGUGGGGAUCAAACAGG
rnacentral:rRNA from 1 species